GACUUUCGGGUGAGAGGCGGGGUACACCCUGGACUGGUCGCCAGCGCGUAGAGACAAACAAUCAUUCACACUCACAUUUACAUCUGAGUCUUCAAUGGACCUAACAUGCAUGCUUUUGGAAUGUGGGAGGAUUAGGGUAAAAAGAACAAGGUGAGCAUUGUAGUAUAUUUUCAUAGUAACACAAUCAGAGUUCCUUCGGGAAGGACAAAUGUUUGGAGACCUGUGUUCCCACCAACUGUCUUUUCUUUGUACUUCUACAUCAAAGAACAUCCUUUAACCAGUUAUAUGUUGAUUGGGGGGUCUUGCAUCCCCCUGACAGAAACCUGUCGGGGGUUUACAACCGGUCCUGGUCUUCAAAGAGGACUGUUUGGCAUUAUCGUAACAAAGGACCCCCGGGGGUAAGAUUGACCAGGCUGAGAGACGACAGCAGAGGAGUAGUGGUAUUUCACACACCCAAAGAGACACCAGCUGGCAGGUACGAUUCCAAAUAUGGUCAUGAGGAGCAGCAUCUUUCCGGAUGCAACGAGGGAGGGGGCUAAGUCCACGCCCAGAGAAUUAGAACCUUGAUAAACUGAGAUCCCAGGGGUUUCGGGGGCUUUUUCGUCGUUCUGACAAUGCAGCAGCUGCUAUGACACUAAGGCCUGUUCAAUAAAUCGAAUUAGCCCAAAUGCCAAGUGUCUCGAAAUCUUCAUUCACCCCAUGCCAGACGGAAGUCGGAGUCCUCCCGGGAGACCACCGACUCGGAAGCACAGGUGCACGAAAAUUAACCACAAAAUGGCGUUGUCGGCAGGAUUUCUUUGCGGCGCGGCCGGGAGUCAGCGACGCGGGGCCGCUUCAGAUUUCAGGCCGGCUAAAAAGGUGAGUCUUUUCUCACUGUUUGAAUCUGGCGGCCGUGCGCCGCUGACGCUAGUGGCUUGUGUGCUGUAUUGAAAUCGACUAGUGGGCACGUUCCUGUGCUUCCGUGUCAGAGGGGGUGGUUUGAAGUUUCGUCUAAAUUUCGUGUUGUUUUUACUGGUAUUUUGGACCCGCGGAGGGGAAGGCCCUUCAAGAGUGAAUGAGUUCGACACACAAAUGUCAAAAGAAGUUUUAAAGUGUUAACAGUAGAAUGCUCGAUUUGGGACGUGCGCUUAGUUUCAGAACGGAUGCGUUCAUGCGGAGCUCGGAUGCUAGCAUGAUGUCAGUCCGGCCGUUAAAUUAGCAAGGCACGUCACCAGAUGAGUAACAUAGCCCAUAGUCGUUAAGUACCGAUUGAACACAACCUGGCCAGGUUACUAUUUAGCAGAAUGAGUGUGGAAGCGUAGUCUGAGAGAAGUGACGUCGGCAGUCCAUGUGAGGCCGCCAAAGCUAGCAGACGCGGCUAUUGGGAUAAGUUAUCACACGACGCUCUCGGUGGGAAGAUGAGGGAUCACAUCCACAUAAGGCGGGGCCGAGGUGGGGUGAAGCCUGUGUAAUGAAAUUCGAAGGUUCGACUCCUGGUCGGGUUUGUUAUGCUAAUCUGAGGCCGGGCGUCAUCAAGUGUGAGCAAAUUAAGUAACAGACGAGGUGAGCUCUAUUUGGGAACGAAAGAGACUCAUAGUAGGUCUGGAAAAAGACCCGUGGACUAAGUGUGUGUGAUACGAAUACUCUGUGUGAUACGACUUAUUAAUUGUGUACACAAUAUGAAGAAAAACCCUAGAACUAUAAUAAAUAUAAUUAUAAAAAAAAAAAUAUCUAUGUAAACAGUUAUAAAGCGCUCUAAACAGGUACCCAUUAUCGUUACAAAAAAUACAGGUAAGGUAUGAUAAAUUAAUAUAGAUAUAUAUAUAUAUAUAUACAACUCGGAUGCCGGGCGGCCGUGAACACGGCGGGUUUGCGUCAUGUUGGUCUAUUUUUGGGUCAACGUAACUGGCCAGUGUUCCAGCGAAUCAGACGAGACACGACCCCGGAUGUUUUGUUGGGGGAUGGAUACGGCGGCGGUUGAAUUGGUGAGGCCACGCAUGUGUUACGGAGCCGUUAAAACCUGAGCGAAGAGGAAUUCUGUGAAUCGAGACGAUUCUGGCCCACUUCGGCCUGCACGCGGAGUUUGAAUGCAUGGCGUAAAAGGUGCUGGUUGAAUAAGAGCGUAUGAGCAGGAGGUGAAACGUAAGAAGUGGAUGAGAAUGUAUUUUAGUGUGUUACCAGUGAAUCAUGAGGUGUGUAUGUGCGGGAUGUUAUUGUGUGUGCAGCCAAAUGUGUUCAACGGAGGUAGGGAUGUGACCGGACAUAGGAGUCUUUGUAAAAACGAUAGUUAGGGGUGAUAUAAUUACUUUAAUGUAGUGCCGAAGAGAUAGACAGUAAAACGCAGCGAAGUUUAAUAUACUCGCGAGAUGACAAGGGUGUUGUAAGGCGGAAAAGGGCUUUGCGGGGCGCUCGGUUGAGUAAAUUCAGAGAGGAUUGGUAAUGGAUGCUGAAGGAAAAUAUGUUGUUAAGAAAAUAGAAGAGAAUGAAAAAUUGAGUAGAAAAAUGUAUGAGAUUUGUCUGGUGUGCCCUGCCAUGGCAGCUGUUCAGCGAAGAAAAAAUAAGAGCGACAAAUUCCCCCGCUAAAUACAAUUUACGGACCUUUCCGAAAACGGCCCCAGUGACGUCACUAUAACCGGCAUUGCCGGUCAAGGGGCGUCUCAAAUGGCAGACCAUUUGUAGAGGGGAAAUAAAACUCCUAUCAAUUCCGCACGAGCCCGCAUUCAAAAAGGUGGGUAAAUGUACAAAAAUUGGCUUUCAAAAUGUUUUAGUUUUUACAGAAACGGCUGCCCGGACUGGCUGCUGUUGGUGUAAUUUGGAUCCAGGGGCUGAAAAAGUUGAUGGACAACAUGAGCCUGGCGUGUGGUGACAUAGUCAGAUUGAUACGCGCCUGUUGCAUUUCGGUUCACCAAUCGGAUGAUAUGUUGCCACGGUCAGGUCUGAAUAAUGUCGAACCUGAAAUUUUAUUUGCCCCUUUUGCUCCUAUAGUAUUUGCUGUGUGACAUGUUCCCGUCCUCUUCCCCAACGGUGCUGAAGCUUCCGGACUUCAAACCUCUCAUGGAUCCCAGUUCUCACUUCGAACAUUGCAUAAGUAUUUGGACAGAUAAGACAGGAUCACAUCCCUCCCGUUUAAGAGAGGCAAAUGUUAUUUAUAGAAUAGCUUUACUUGAGACCUUGCCGGUUGAAGUUAGGACUGAACUUUUUAAAGACCCUGACCUCAUGAAAGGGGGAGAUAGCUUUUUUAAUUGUCAUAGGUCACACCAUUUGAAACUUUUUGUCGACAGAAAACACAAAUCAUCAGAUGAGGUAAAGGACAUGCAGGAACAACUUUUGAAGCUACCAUUGGCCCAGGCCCGUAAAGUGGCCAUUAAAAAAAAAAUAAAAAAAAUAAAAUAAAUAAAUAAAUAAAAAUGGAAGCAGAAAAACAGAUGUGGAUGCCGCAGGGGUCAACGAGGAGACGAGGCGGGAGUCGUGACAGAGGACACCAACGGAGGCAGGGGAAGCCCUUGCCGACCUCCAACGGACCAAGCGUGCUUCAAUUGUGGUCAGUAUGGACACUGGGAUUGCCAAUGUACUGUUUACCCAAUGAUUCAACAAUGACCUCCAGUGGAACCCGGAGAGGCCACACCUCAAAGAGGAGGCUACAAAGCUUCACGAGGGAGAGGUGGGCGCGUCCCGGCAACAGCAUCCGCAGCAGGCUCCACAGCAACGAGCCAUCUCGCCAGUACUACUGCGAUGAGGCCUGGUCCGAAUGCCCAAUGAGCCCGGAGCCAGGGGACGGAGGAAAGACAGAGCCUCUGAACCCCACUAAGGGAAGACAACCACCUGAAUGAGCUGUGCAGGGGUGCCCAUGAGUGUGCCGAUUACGAUACCAUUAAAGACUGAAAUUGCUGGACAGACGCAUGAACAUCAGUUUGUCCUCAUGAAAAGAGGGGCUCCAGUGAACCUGAUGGGCAGAGAUCUGCUUAUCAAGACCAGGGCUACCAUCCUUUGUAGCCCAGAUGGACUGACGAUACGGGUCCCCGAUGGGACCAUGAUGAACUGUGGAAGAAGUUAUCCUCCAGAUGGAACAUGAUACAACAUGAACUUCCGGAAGCAACUGCUGACAUAUAUUGGGCCCGACUAAAACCUGAAACAAAGGAGGGAGGCGGAGUUUACUCGGCCUUCCUGCGGUGGAAGGCCUGGAUCGACUCUCUUGCCCCCUAUCGUCCUCCAAUUGAUCCUCUCCAUCUCACACUGUUUUAUGAUAAAAAUGACGAUUUGGUUUACAGAGAAGCUUUUGAGCCAAUACAGGGGGAAAAUGGGAUGCUCAAUAAGUAAAAGUAUUUACAUAGGGAAGCAAGGUGUGGCAGCGGCCGCCACCUUGACGCCAGAGCAGAGUGAGUGGUUUAUGAUGAGUUUGACAUCUUUUCCACACUUUUUCACUUGCACUAGGUCAUAAAGCUUGAGAACUGGGACCCAUGGUGAGAAAAUGCCAAUUGGCAAAUGAUUGGCAACAAGAUCAAAUACCCAAUGUGUUGUACUCUUCCAGUACUGAAUGUUUUUGUAUUCAAGGUACCAUGGUGGACGGAGGGGUGUUGGAGCAUGUGACUUUAGCGCGAUUCCAUGGCGGAGAACUCUCGGACCAUGAGGACGCCGCACAGCUGUUGAGCUCGCUGCCGGACUCAUUGUGGUCCGAGGGUCCUGCAGACGGGGGUCUAUGUACAUCCGUGACUCCGGUAACAUUCGAGGUAAACCCGACUGCUUUUGUUAACGUGCCGUAGUAUCCUUGUAAACAAGAGGCCAUAGAAGAUAUCGCGGAAACCCAAAUUCUGAAAUCCCAAUGCUUUGGUCCAUAAAUGAUGUUAUGAAACCCUCCGCUCAAGCUGCAGAACCGCUGGCCAUUUGCAGGGCACUGGAGAUAUCUGAAAGUCAAGAGUGUUACUCCUUAUUAAUGGUGCUGAUGCUGCAGCAGAAAAAAGUAGCAGGCUAAUAAAUGGAUAGAUGCUUAGAGAGCACUUGAGGUGAGAGAUGAUUGUGAGAAGCACAUUAACGCAUACGAUGGCUUUAAACUUGUUUAUGCCUAGAAGAGGAGUAAUGAAAAAUGUGUUAACUUGUGUGUCAGAGGGAAUUAUUUUGGCUUAUUUACGGAAUGGCACACAAGGAAGUGGUAGGAUGGUUGUAAUUGUGAAUAUACCGGGAGGCUGUGAUUUUUGUAAGUGGAUAUACAUAGAAGUUCCUGUUUGGGCAAACCAAAUUAAGAAAAUUAUGCGAGGUACACCAGUCUACUAAAGACAUCCGUACAAUAUUUAGUUGAUACAGUAUAGUAACUAUUAAUACAGCAUAGCGAAUGCAACUCUUUUCAUUCACAGAAGUGAAGGAUGGGCCAGAGGUAUAAGGUUGUGUUGCUACUUAUGGUACAUACGAUAUGAGACUGUGCCUCAUGUGCAUUGUGUGCCAGGGAAAUUAUGAGGAGUACAUUUCUUUGAGAAUGACUAUGUUAUUUGGUAUGAAGAUUAAUCUGUUUGAUUGUCUCCCCAGAUUCAGCACUAGAGCAGGGAAGACAAAGAGGAUUUUUCCAUCUUUCUGGCAAGCCAAUUUUGAGGAGGGUUAUGUAGUUGCAUUCUGUCUUCUAAAUCAGGUCGAUUACAACACUUUGUGGACAAGCGGAGAGCUGCUUUUUGAGCUAAAGGGACAAAUUUAUCAGGGAUAGUAUUCUUAGAUUGCUAAAAAUAAGAUAACAUUGUUGCCUCAGUUAUUGGUGACUGGUUCCUUACAGCGGUUGGGGAGGGUUGGUCAAGGCAUUGAUCAUGUGAGACAUAAAGUAAUAAUACACAAAAGGGGUAAUCGGGAAGCACCAUAUAUAGAUUAAUAAAUACAAGUUAAGGUUGAUUGCUGGGAAGUUCUGCGAGGCCCUGCACCCUAAAAUAGCCGGGAACUUGCACUAAAAUGUUAAAUGACCGGACAUCGGCAUCCCAGCUAGGGGGCCCGUUUUACAACUGGUGCGUGGGCGAAGUUUACGAUAGGCAGGGCUUACGUCUGAGGAUAAGAGACAGAGGUCAGGAGGGUUGCAACUCAGAGACAACUGUAAAUAGGAAGAAAAGAACAAAGGGUAGUUAGACUUAAAAAUCUUCCACUGACUUAAUUGAACAAGCUAGAAAGUAAGCGGAUAUAAACCAAAUUUAGAAGCUAUGACAGAAAACGCCGUUUACUGAACAGGUGACUAUGGGAGGCUCGGUCGUGCUAGCGUGACCUUAUUGACAAGUGAGAACCCAGUGUGUCCCCUCUCAUAUGCUGUUAGAGCCGCGGGUCGGUCGCCGGUUUCGGCUGUUCAGUUUAUCCACAAUAACAAAGACAUAAGCAAUGCCGUGAAGCAAGCAAGGGGGGCGCCACUGUUAUUAUUUGUCACGAGAGACUGAGAAAGACUCUUCAACCUGACGAUUGCAUCUAUAUGAAGGAUGUUUCUCAUGACAGAAAGAGAGCCAAGGAAAGGACUUUGUGGUGGAGACGGCAAAAAGCUGGAAAGACAAAGAGCAGCUGAAUGGUCCUGUGUCUCCACGUUUACCAAGCGAAUUGGAACAAUAUGAUGAAAAGUCUGUUUCAGUGGGGGACAAAGUGGACACAUUUCAAAGCCAUCAAUGAUGCUGAGGGACGAAGGUCGGAGUCGGUCGGUGAUCAGUGGCUCGUCGGAAGAUGGUGGGGACACACUUGAGGUAAUUUGGUCAUCGGUAUUAAGCAGGUCACCUGCCCUUGAACAGCAAUAAAUGGUAAAGGCUAGGCAGGGCAUAUAUUUAGGAGUUUUCAGUAUAAGAAGGGUUAAAUUUUACUUAGUCAGAAAUCUCCCUAGUCAGUGAGGUGGGCAGAGGCACUAGAUAGGAUUGUGGGAGAAAUUAGAAAUAUUUUUGCCAUUAUGGGAGUAUGAGGUCAUGCAGUCCUCAGAUAGAAUUCUACUUCAAAAUUUAUAUUAAACGUCGGUAGGGGUUGAAAGAGAGAGGUCAGAAAGGAGCAGACCUCCUACUUGAUUUCACCUACCAUUGGUUAAUGAGUCUGUUAGUAGUUUGUUAGCAAAUGCCUCACUAAGCCUCCUACGCUGCACAUGUAAAUAUCGUCGGACCAAGACCAUCUACUGUAUUUGGGCACUAGGGGGUAAUAUACAAAGGGGGGCAUUGAUCGAUGAAUUAAUCUGGUCUGACGUAGAAGAGGGGGACUUGAUUUGCGGAUCUGUCAGGUGUAAUAUUGGAAAUUAGGAAAAAGCAAUGAAGGAUACCUGUAGACUGGUAGAGGAAUCUUGGGAAAAUUAUGCGCAGUGACGGGGGUGUAAAGACCGAAAUACGAGCAAGCCGUUUCUGGUACAUUUGGGGAGUAAUAAUUAGAAAUCAGUUGGUAACAGAGCUAUUUUUAAAUUGUCAAUCUAGCAGGAAUAUCGCGGUACUGAGGAGGAAGACCACGUGUAGUGAUUGUACUAGUUAGUUCAAACCGAUCAACUUUCAAAUACUAGUUACGUGAUGGCAGGGGAGGAGGCGGUUUUUGCCCAAACAGGAACGAGGGAAGGUGGAUAUUAAUUGCGUUAAAAAAAAUAAAAUAAAAUAAAAAAUAAAAAAAAUUUAAAAAAAAUAAAUAAAUAAAAAAAGCCUCAGGAGGCUGCACAAGUUUCAUAGCUUGCAAAUUACAAAUUUUGAUCCGCGACUUGGGUAAGCACGCAAAUGCUUCCAAAUGGGUUGGUUGGGAAUUACGCGUCAACCAAUAUAUAUUCUGUGUUCAGUUUUGUCUGUGGGGUGUGUAAGUGGAAAUGGACGGUCAGGUCAAUGUUAUUGUCUGAGAAGUCUCGCUUGUCAUGUCGUAUUAAAUGUUUAUGGUUUGUGUUAAAUGUUUACGGUUUGUGUUAAAUGUUUGUGUUGUGUUAAUUAAAAGCAGAAAUGGAGCACCAAUGGAGUGAUUGUGGGAAUGUGAUCACAUACAAGAGCCAGUCUCACCCAUAUCAAACAUAGCAUCCCAAGAUGUUGGGAGCCGGAGGUCAAAUUAAGUACUCUUGGGCCACGACCCUAUUUUAGGAAUUCGAACUUUUAGUUCUGGCAUGAUUGAAGCACCACUGGGUCAAAUUCACUCAUGUGGAGAAGGCUUCUAUGCAAUUUGUGGGGUCAUCUGAGACUAACAUGUUUAUGACGACUGAGGACUUUGUGACUGACAAGUGGGUACGGUCUACACAGACUGUUGACUAACUGACCUUUGUGACGGUGUACAUAAGGACACGGGGAAGAGUCUGAUUUGUGGACAUAACUUUAUUUUUCAGGACGCCCAGGAGGAUGCAGUGUGACAGUGUUGAGUUAUUGCAGGUUAUGGGAGUGCUGACUUAAUGCCGAUUCUUAUGUGAUUCUUGGUCUAUUGACAUUGCCACUGUUGGGAAACGUGUUAACAAUGAAUUAUCAGUGUUAACAUAUGAUUUGUUAUUUAUGGAAAUUAUAUCAAUGUUUGGUGACCAUUGCCGACUUGUCCCUUCUCUGGGGUAUGAAUGCAGGAAUUAUGGAGUCCACCCCCUUGGCAGGAGCAUCUUUUGCAGAGGUGUGAUUAAUUUAUUAAAGGACUUGUUUGCAGGACUUGUCAGCUGGGCCUCUGCAACAGGGAAGAUGACCUGUUUAAAAAUGGAUGGUGGAGUGUAUUCCUGUUGUUGUGUAUUUGCUGGGAGAGUAGCCUCUAGGAACUUUGCUGUGCUGACUCCCACCAGUAACAUCUACUGCCGGCGGACCUGAGACAGCUGUCGAAGAAGGGUGCCCGGGUAAAGUGGACACAUUGAUUCAUAAUGUAUCCGAACGGGAGGUUAGUAUUCCAAUUCUGAACUUUGAUUCAACACUGUACUGUUAUUGGAGGUUGCUAGUUUAUGCAGGUUCAUCACAGGAAGUUGGAUGGAGGAGAGCUUAGGAAGAUAUGGUGCAUGCAUGACUGGUGGGAUACAGAGUAUGACCAAUAUCGGAAUGUCUAAUGCAAUACUGUCGAGGGAGUUCACAUGAUAUGGUAGUAAGUACCUUAGCGUGACACUGACGGUGAGUAUGAUAUGAUUGAGGGGUAAUGAGUAAUACGAAACAUCUAUUGACACCCCUCCAGAGGUUAUGAUUCGUCAAGUGGCAGAUAUAUGGGUUUUGGCAUGAACAAUAAAUAUAGAGUAACUAUGGUAUAAUGAGAUAUUAGAGUCUGGGGGCUAAUAUGGACUUGAUGACGCAAUCGGUUACGAACUAGGGUCUCUACGAGGUACGGAACUAAAAGGGGAGUGAUGUGAAAAUUAACGCAAAUUUAAAUUACAGGACGACUGAGGGGUAAGAUAUUGCAAGCCGCUGCGGGUGGUUAGGGGUGCGUGCCAAGAAUCCACCGAAUUGGGGAGGAAUCAGGAGGGUCUCAUAGGGGCACCCCCAUCCCUUUUUGGGUCAGUUAAGUCAGGAGGCGCAUGGGCUAGCCCAUGACGCAAGGGGGGUGUAAAGCGGAAAAUUAGGAAAGAAUAGGGGUUUGGGCACCUGUUAAAUAAAUUGUAGAAAUUAUCAUAGUUUAGCUUAGCUUUCAUUAAUAUUAUGGACAAUUUUGAUGGAAGAAUUGCGCAACAAAGAAGUCUGCAGAAGAAUAAACCUAGGGUAAUACUAGUCAAAGGGACGACGGAGUCUUGUACGUACUUAAAUUCCGUGUUUCCGUGGGUUUGUAAAAACGUUAUUAGUAUCGUGUGAAUGUGUAGAAGUGUGAAUGUAUAAGACAGGAUUGCAAAUUACAACUGGGUUUGGAAGCAGGUGCAAGAAUCCUCCGUCCCGUGGGGGUAAAAGUUUGAAGGUUACCAAGCCCCAGACAUUCAUUGUCACCCUGUCAUUUUGAAUAGUCAGUAUUAAGGUCACUCUCGGUGCAAAUAAAUUGACUUCCAAAUUCACAAAAUAAGGAAAAAUAACAGUAAACCGGAUUCAAGAGAACGCUUCACGUGUAAAGACUGGAAAUAUGUUCAACUCCAAACCCCUUACAAAAUGAAACAUUUAAACACAUGGAUAACCAAAUACGAUGUCGCGGGCCAGCUAACUUUGAAAAAUUGGUUCAACGUCGAGACGAAAUAAAAGUCGACAUAAAAAUAAUAGAAAAAUGGAUAAAAGAGGGAUAUGAUGACAUAGUUGUCUGGCUAAACAUGGUGUCUAAAAUAGAAAAAGGAAGUAAAGAAACGAAGGACUUAGAAAAUGGACGGAAAAGGCCUUCAGGGACAUUAAACAACAUUUGGUGUCCAGGAAAGUGCUGGCCCUUCCAAAGUAUGAUAAAACAUUCAUUCAAAUGGUAGAGUGGAAAAGCUAUUACAAGACCUCCGUACUUACGCAACAAUGAAGUGAUAAACUAAGACCAAGAGCUUAUUUUUUGACUAAAAUAGACAGAGUGAUGUGAUAAUGGGCGGCAUGGUGGCCGACUGGUUAGAGCGUCAGCCUCACAGUUCUGAGGACCGGGGUUCAAUCCCCGGCCCCGCCUGUGUGGAGUUUGCAUGUUCUCCCCGUGCCUCCGUGGCUUUUCUCCGGGCACUGCGGUUUCUUCCCACAUCCCAAAAACAUGCAUUAAUUGGAGACUCUAAAUUGCCCGUAGGUGUGACUGUGAGUGCGACUGGUUGUUUGUUUGUAUGUGCCCUGCGAUUGGCUUGCAACCAGUUCAGGGUGUACCCCGCCUCCUGCCCGAUGACAGCUGGGAUAGACUCCAGCACGCCCGCGACCCGCGUGAGGAGAAGUGACUCAGAAGAUGAACGGAUGGAUGGACUUGGUGGAGGAAGUUAGGUCAUUUUCUUGGCUCAGAUUCCUUCAUGCUAGGGUGUUACAAAACAAAUUAAUAUCCAGCGAUGGUAAGCGUCGGAGUCAUGUCCGCAGGGGUUUGGAGACAUACAGCGAUGCAAGGGGGGUAUUAUCACUUACGGAUUAAGCAACGGCCACUACCAUGCCUGCCUCAGAUGUGUAGAACUGACUGCCCUCCAUAUAUUGUACUGUUAGAUAUCCAUUUGAAAAUGGGUUGGAUUAAGUUUGAUUUUGUUGCAAAAUACUGGCAGAUGUUUUUGUUCUUCCAGGGGUGGUCUGGAGCUGUUCAGGGUCCCGUGUGUAUAAACCUGAACUCUGGGACUAAUUCAUGGUGGACAGCGGCCCGGGGCUGCAGGGGUUACAGUUUCUUCAUCAAUGACACGAGCUGUAGACCAUAUGGAGGGAGACCACCUUUAAGAUUUUUAUUUUUAUUUCGUGUGUAUUUUGAUAUGUGUGCUUCCACAGUUCUUUUUUGUGUUUUACGCUGUUUUUUGUUCAUUUAUUUCAAUGUUUGUAUUAUUCUGUUGUGUAUGGUUUGCCAUCCGAGUCAAGGCCGCUUUGGGUGUUUUGAUGUACGGGGCUCUGAAGGACACGUGACACGACUCUCGCUCUUUUCCUCGUCUCGUUUUGAGAAAGGUUUUUCGACCGAGAGCCGCGAAACCUUGACGCUUCCACGAGGCUGCGCGUACAAAUUGAUAAAUUUGGGAUUGGCUCCGUUUCGAUAUCGGGGAGGAGAUUUGGUUUGUUUGGCUGUUUGGUACGCACGUGUGACCUCGGGGGGCGAAGAGGAGACGCAGGGAGUGAUUCGGCCUUAUUAGAAUAAUUAUUUUUCCUAGUAAAUGGUUAACCAUAAGUAAAUGCCUUGGAGCAUGAUAGAUUUUCUUGACCAAGUAGAUUUGUUCAAAUUGUAGAUAAUUAGUUAACUUUUUGGGCUAACGCUGGUUUGUUGGUUCUGGCCAGGUGUCAUUUGGUAACUCUAGGUUUGUAAUGAGUUUGGGGAUCUCAUUAAAGGGGGGUUAUGUAGUAUAUUUUCAUAGUAACACAAUCAGAGUUCCUUCGGGAAGGACAAAUGUUUGGAGACCUGUGUUCCCACCAACUGUCUUUUCUUUGUACUUCUACAUCAAAGAACAUCCUUUAACCAGUUAUAUGUUGAUUGGGGGGUCUUGCAUCCCCCUGACAGAAACCUGUCGGGGGUUUACAACCGGUCCUGGUCUUCAAAGAGGACUGUUUGGCAUUAUCGUAACAAAGGACCCCCGGGGGUAAGAUUGACCAGGCUGAGAGACGACAGCAGAGGAGUAGUGGUAUUUCACACACCCAAAGAGACACCAGCUGGCAGGUACGAUUCCAAAUAUGGUCAUGAGGAGCAGCAUCUUUCCGGAUGCAACGAGGGAGGGGGCUAAGUCCACGCCCAGAGAAUUAGAACCUUGAUAAACUGAGAUCCCAGGGUUUUCGGGGGCUUUUUCGUCGUUCUGACAAUGCAGCAGCUGCUAUGACACUAAGGCCUGUUCAAUAAAUCGAAUUAGCCCAAAUGCCAAGUGUCUCGAAAUCUUCAUUCACCCCAUGCCAGACGGAAGUCGGAGUCCUCCCGGGAGACCACCGACUCGGAAGCACAGGUGCACGAAAAUUAACCACAGCAUUCAAAUUCAAACUCCAUACAGGAAGGCCAGAGCCCGGAUUUGAACCCCCAACCUCAGAACUGUGCGGCGGCACACUUGAUCACCGUGCCGCCCUUGUAUCACGCCAGUACAACUAAAUUAACCAACAAUUGCAUUCAGAACAACAUUUACAGUAGCACGUCUUCUGGCUUAUGUUUCCUGUUGUAACCUUCCCGGCUGUCAACCUUGGAUAGCAUUAAUUAUCAAAUUAUACAAUAUCUUUCUGAGCAGGUUCUGCUAAAAGACAGUGUUUUUUUAAGGCUUUUCUUCUGUACCUCUUUCUUGAUCUUGUAAAUUAUUAGUUUUAGACUCAUGCGUUACAAGUUGUUGACAUGAUGUUAUUCUCAGUCUGUGGUUUUACUGCAAAAAGCACACAUCCUGCGCACGUAACGGUUUCUUUUUUCUCUCUCUUGGAUGGCAAGCCACCUAAAACGACAAAUGCUUGUAUGUCAUUAUUCAAAGCGAGAGAGAGAGAGUGAGUUGUCUGUCUGUUAUCAGAGAAUCAUCACCAUGGGAAACUGUUCCACUGUGACAAUCCCGGCUGAUUUCAACCUUUUUUACAUGUCACCUUUAUUCUGGGUGCCCACUGGAUUACUGGUACUCUCGUUGUCUUGCAAUAUUGUUUUCUGUUUUUCAAAAUCAGGUUGUUCAG